rnacentral:rRNA from 1 species
GAUGAACGCUAGCGGCAGGCCUAAUACAUGCAAGUCGAGGGGUAGAGGAAGCUUGCUUUCUUGAGACCGGCGCACGGGUGCGUAACGCGUAUGCAACCUACCUUUAUCAGGGGGAUAGCCCGGAGAAAUCCGGAUUAACACCGCAUAAAAUCACAGACCAGCAUUGUUUCAUGAUCAAAUAUUUAUAGGAUAAAGAUGGGCAUGCGUGCCAUUAGCUAGUUGGCGGGGUAACGGCCCACCAAGGCGACGAUGGCUAGGGGCUCUGAGAGGAGAAUCCCCCACACUGGUACUGAGACACGGACCAGACUCCUACGGGAGGCAGCAGUAAGGAAUAUUGGUCAAUGGGGGCAACCCUGAACCAGCCAUGCCGCGUGCAGGAAGACUGCCCUAUGGGUUGUAGACUGCUUUUGUACGGGAAUAACCACUGGUAUGUAUACCAGCCUGAAUGUACCGUAAGAAUAAGGAUCGGCUAACUCCGUGCCAGCAGCCGCAGUAAAAC